GUGAAGACAAACUUCAAUAACAAACCAACUCUUUUAUAAUUUGGUCCUAAUUCUGCUAACCUCAUACAGACCAAGCUGUCAAAAUGAAAUGGAAUAGCUCUGCGAAUAUGAACAAGCUCAAGUUUCUCUCUGUGUUUUCCAAGAAACGAACUGACUUGUGUUUAUAGUAUAUUGCACAAAUGACUCACUCAGGCAGCAUCUGUGCUAAGUACUGAGUGGGACAACAUUUUAUAUCAAGUAAGAUGACACAUUUUGCUCUUUUUUGUUUGCAAAUUUUCACCAAAUUUCUCGUCUCCACCCAGGCUGAAUAUUUUUCUUGGACUUCGGAUCAGCUUUGGCCUAGCUCUCACUGAAGCAGAAGCUAAUGAGUUUCUCCCAAAGUUAAUGAGUGUCUCCCAAGAUAAAAGGAGUAAGGUGGCUAAAGCUGUAUGUAGAAGUUCAAAUGAGAAUCAGGAGACCCCACAGAAGAAGAAAUGUACUGGAUACUGUUGCUUGUUCCACAGAAAAUGUCUCAACCUUAGUCUGAAAGAACUAAGACUGUUCAUGAGUCAAUGUGACAUGCAUGAGAAAGGGUAAAAGAGACUACACAUUCAGAUUCUUCUCACCAUCCUACUGUGAAGCAGGAAGUGAGCAAGGAGCAGCUCAAGGAUACAAAAGUUUGCAAAUUGGAAUAAAAUUUUCCAAAUAGCUGUGAAGUUGAGAGAAAGUGGAAACAUUUGAUCUCCAUAUUGUCAACUAUUUUCUGUCUGAAAAGAAAAUGAAAAAAAGGGAAUAUGUCAUAAGAAAUAGUAUUUCAGGUCUUAGAAUUUCUGAAAUCAGUUUUUUAAAAAGGAGUGAAAAUAAAAAAAAACCCCUUUAAAAAGAAACCUCUCUUCCUACAGUAAUUAUUAUUCUUGGUCAAUCUUAGUUAGCUGUUUUUGUAAUACAGGCCUAAAAAGCCGAGCAUAAGAGCUAGAUAUAGGAAUCCAGACUCAUAUUUCAAAAUAAGAGCCUGAGUUAAAGCUUUAUAAUAUGUCCAGAAUAUCAUCUUUCUAAUGCAUAACUUACGUGCAAUUUGAAUAUUGCUGUUGGAUGUUGAAAGUUUCUAGAGCAUACUGUAUCAAAUUCCUUAUGUUAAGCCAAGGUGCUUGCUGAUAGUUUUGGAAUCAAUGGUUGGGAAGAAAUUAAAUGUGUCAAAGCAAGGGAGUAUUCUAUAAAAAUGAAAAAUGAAGAAUUUUCAUGUAAUUUGUUUUUGACAACCAAACUGAAAAAAUUAAUAUCUUUCUAGGUCUGGAUAUCUUUGUCAUAGAAAUUCAAAGUCCACUAAAAUCAAAGGCAGUUUUUCCACAAGCUCAUCAAAUUUUUCAUUGAAAUGUUGGUGUGCCAUUCUAUAGCAUUUUGAUAACAGGAGGGAUUUGAGCAAUCUGGGAAUGAAAUGAAAGAAAGAAUGAAAAUAAUGAUUUAUCUAAGGAAAUAGGCAAUAAAUCUUUGACAGAAAAAAUCCUGA